AAGAAGGUGGCAGAGCGGUUAUGCGACUGGCUUGAAACCAGUCUAUGGGGGUUCAAUUCCUCCCUUUCUCG
rnacentral:tRNA from 1 species